rnacentral:rRNA from 1 species
CAGUCGCCGCGGGAAUACAGAGGGUGCGAGCGUUAAUCGGAUUUACUGGGCGUAAAGCGUGCGUAGGCGGCUUUUUAAGUCGGAUGUGAAAUCCCUGAGCUUAACUUAGGAAUUGCAUUCGAUACUGGGAAGCUAGAGUAUGGGAGAGGAUGGUAGAAUUCCAGGUGUAGCGGUGAAAUGCGUAGAGAUCUGGAGGAAUACCGAUGGCGAAGGCAGCCAUCUGGCCUAAUACUGACGCUGAGGUACGAAAGCAUGGGGAGCAAACAGGAUUAGAUACCCGAGUAGUCCCUGUCUCUUAUAA